rnacentral:rRNA from 1 species
AGUGAACGCUGGCGGUAGGCCUAACACAUGCAAGUCGAACGGCAGCACAGUAAGAGCUUGCUCUUACGGGUGGCGAGUGGCGGACGGGUGAGGAAUACAUCGGAAUCUACUUUUUCGUGGGGGAUAACGUAGGGAAACUUACGCUAAUACCGCAUACGACCUACGGGUGAAAGCAGGGGAUCUUCGGACCUUGCGCGAUUGAAUGAGCCGAUGUCGGAUUAGCUAGUUGGCGGGGUAAAGGCCCACCAAGGCGACGAUCCGUAGCUGGUCUGAGAGGAUGAUCAGCCACACUGGAACUGAGACACGGUACAGACUCCUACGGGAGGCAGCAGUGGGGAAUAUUGGAAAAGGGGCGCAAGCCUGAUCCAGCCAUACCGCGGGGGUGAAGAAGGCCUUCGGGUGGUAAAGCCCUUUUGUUGGGAAAGAAAAGCAGCAGGUUAAUACCCCGCUGUUCGGACGGUACCCAAAGAAUAAGCACCGGCUAACUUCGU